rnacentral:rRNA from 1 species
UCCCGAGCAAUCGGGAAAGUAGAGUGGCGCACGGGUGAGUAACACGUAGGUAAUCUACCUUCGGAUGGGGAAUAACCCCGAGAAAUCGGGGCUAAUACCGCAUAAUGCAGCGGCACCUAAUGGUGACAGUUGUUAAAGCGGGGGAUCGAAAGACCUCGCGUCUGAAGAGGAGCCUGCGGCGGAUUAGCUAGUUGGUAAGGUAAUGGCUUACCAAGGCGACGAUCCGUAACCGGCCUGAGAGGGCGGACGGACACACUGGGACUGAGACACGGCCCAGACUCCUACGGGAGGCAGCAGUGGGGAAUUGUUCGCAAUGGGCGCAAGCCUGACGACGCAACGCCGCGUGGAGGAUGAAGAUCUUCGGGUCGUAAACUCCUGUCGAGUGGGAAGAAUAGUUUCCGGGCGAAUAUCCCGGGAACCUGACGGUACCACUAAAGGAAGCCCCGGCUAACUCCGUGCCAGCAGCCGCGGUAAUACGGGGGGGGCAAGCGUUGUUCGGAAUUACUGGGCGUAAAGGGCUCGUAGGCGGCCAACUAAGUCAGAUGUGAAAUCCCCAGGCUUAACCUGGGAACUGCGUCUGAUACUGGAUGGCUUGAAUUCGGGAGAGGGAUGCAGAAUUCCAGGUGUAGCGGUGAAAUGCGUAGAUAUCUGGAGGAAUACCGGUGGCGAAGGCGGCAUCCUGGACCGACAUUGACGCUGAGGAGCGAAAGCUAGGGGAGC